rnacentral:rRNA from 1 species
GAUCCUGGCUCAGGACGAACGCUGGCGGCGUGCCUAACACAUGCAAGUCGAACGGAGAAUUUUAUUUCGGUAGAAUUCUUAGUGGCGAACGGGUGAGUAACGCGUAGGCAACCUACCCUUUAGACGGGGACAACAUUCCGAAAGGAGUGCUAAUACCGGAUGUGAUCAUCGUGCCGCAUGGCAGGAUGAAGAAAGAUGGCCUCUACAAGUAAGCUAUCGCUAAAAGGAUGGGCCUGCGUCUGAUUAG